rnacentral:rRNA from 1 species
UACGGGGGGGGCAAGCGUUGUUCGGAAUUACUGGGCGUAAAGGGCUCGUAGGCGGCCAACUAAGUCGGACGUGAAAUCCCCAGGCUCAACCUGGGAACUGCGUCUGAUACUGGAUGGCUUGAAUUCGGGAGAGGGAUGCAGAAUUCCAGGUGUAGCGGUGAAAUGCGUAGAUAUCUGGAGGAAUACCGGUGGCGAAGGCGGCAUCCUGGACCGACAUUGACGCUGAGGAGCGAAAGCUAGGGGAGCAAACGGG